rnacentral:tRNA from 2 species
AAUUAAUGAACUUGUAAUAAGUGUAUAUUUUGAAAAUAUAAAAAAGAAGUCAAAUCUUCUAUUAAUUU